rnacentral:tRNA from 1 species
CAUCAAGAAGCUCAUAGCGUUAGCCUUUUAAGCUAAAGACAGAGGAACCUACCGCCUCCCUGAUGA